rnacentral:rRNA from 1 species
AGUCGAGCGCACUCCUUUGGAGUGAGCGGCAAACGGGUGAGUAACGCGUGGGAAUCUACCCAUCUCUACGGAAUAACACAGAGAAAUUUGUGCUAAUACCGUAUACGUCCCUUCGGGGAGAAAGAUUUAUCGGAGAUGGAUGAGCCCGCGUUGGAUUAGCUAGUUGGUGAGGUAACGGCUCACCAAGGCGACGAUCCAUAGCUGGUCUGAGAGGAUGAUCAGCCACACUGGGACUGAGACACGGCCCAGACUCCUACGGGAGGCAGCAGUGGGGAAUAUUGGACAAUGGGGGCAACCCUGAUCCAGCCAUGCCGCGUGAGUGAUGAAGGCCCUAGGGUUGUAAAGCUCUUUCA